rnacentral:lncRNA from 1 species
AAGUCUGAAGAGAGGGAUGAAGUGACCACUGCGGAGUUUUACAUAAAAAAACAACUGACGUUUGUUAAAUAUAUGCAGGAAACUCCGCCGCUGGUCGUCUCUCCUCACCAAGGUUGAUAUCACUACCAUCAUCAGGGACCUGAAGGUGGGGCUGAAAAGCCUCAAGAGGUCUGUGGUGGUGCACCAAAUGGCAGUGAAGAGGGAUAAAUACUGCAAGCUGCCAAAGAGGGAGUGCAUCACCACAUUCCUCUCUGGGGCUAGGAGGAAGAUUCCAGAGCUGCUCGACAUGCUGGAGGAGGAGCAUACAAGUCACACAAGGUUUUGCUUUUAUUGCUACCAGUGUGGCUACUGGAUCUGCCUCUUCGGCCACAGGCCUGGUAUGUACUCCAACAUGACAGAUGAGGAGUUUGCGCAGGCCAAGGCCAGUGGUGGGCCCGACGGCUACCUGAUCCACAUAAGGAUUAAGAAUUCCAUCCCUUCUCUACCUCAGUGUGUCAUAAUAGAUCAAGGAGCACAGACCAACCAGUCAUUUGGAGAGGCCCAGCUGGUCCUCACUCCAGAAGAGUUUUCGUGGCUGGAUAGGCUUAAGAAGUCAACCAAUUUGGAUGACAGGAAAAAUGUAGCCGACUUCAUGUGUCGUGAUGUCCGGACGGCUGACUUGUUCUACGCCAGGUGUCCGAACGUUGUGGCGGCGAAGAACAUCAGGGACAUCAUUGGAGCCAGCCUGCAAAGCAAGGAGGCCAUAGUCAGCGAGGAGGAGGAGGGAGGAGGGAGGAGGAGGAGGAAGAGGAGGAGGGGAAAAA